AUGAACGCUGGCGGCGUGCCUAAUACAUGCAAGUCGAACGCGAGCCUUCGGGCUCGAGUGGCGAACGGGUGAGUAAUACGUAAGCAACCUGGCCUUUACAGGGGGAUAACUGAUGGAAACGUCAGCUAAGACCGCAUAGGUACAGAGAUCGCAUGAUAACUGUAUUAAAAGUGCUACGGGACUGGUAGAGGAUGGGCUUACGGCGCAUUAGCUUGUUGGAGGGGUAACGGCCCACCAAGGCGACGAUGCGUAGCCGACCUGAGAGGGUGACCGGCCACACUGGGACUGAGACACGGCCCAGACUCCUACGGGAGGCAGCAGUAGGGAAUUUUCGGCAAUGGGGGGAACCCUGACCGAGCAACGCCGCGUGAAGGAAGAAGGAAUUCGUUCUGUAAACUUCUGUUAUAAAGGAAGAACGGCACAUAUAGGGAAUGAUAUGUGAGUGACGGUACUUUAUGAGGAAGCCACGGCUAACUACGUGCCAGCAGCCGCGGUAAUACGUAGGUGGCGAGCGUUAUCCGGAAUUAUUGGGCGUAAAGAGGGAGCAGGCGGCAGCAAGGGUCUGUGGUGAAAGGCUGAAGCUUAACUUCAGUGUGCCAGAGAAACCGGGCAGCUAGAGUGCAGGAGAGGAUCGUGGAAUUCCAUGUGUAGCGGUGAAAUGCGUAGAUAUAUGGAGGAACACCAGUGGCGAAGGCGACGAUCUGGACUGCAACUGACGCUCAGUCCCGAAAGCGUGGGGAGCAAAUAGGAUUAGAUACCCUAGUAGUCCACGCCGUAAACGAUGAGUACUAAGUGUUGGGAGUCAGAUCCCAGUGCUGCAGUUAACGCAGUAAGUACUCCGCCUGAGUAGUACGUUCGCAAGAAUGAAACUCAAAGGAAUUGACGGGGGCCCGCACAAGCGGUGGAGCAUGUGGUUUAAUUCGAAGCAACGCGAAGAACCUUACCAGGUCUUGACAUCGUAUGCAUAGCUCAGAGAUGAGUGAAAUCUCUUCGGAGACAUAUAGACAGGUGGUGCAUGGUUGUCGUCAGCUCGUGUCGUGAGAUGUUGGGUUAAGUCCCGCAACGAGUGCAACCCCUGUUGCUAGUUGCCAUCAUUAAGUUGGGGACUCUAGCGAGACUGCCGGUGACAAGCCGGAGGAAGGCGGGGAUGACGUCAAAUCAUCAUGCCCCUUAUGACCUGGGCUACACACGUGCUACAAUGGACGGAUCAGAGGGAAGCGAAGCCGCGAGGCGGAGCGAAACCCAGAAACCCGUUCUCAGUUCGGAUUGCACUCUGCAACUCGAGUGCAUGAAGAUGGAAUCGCUAGUAAUCGCGAAUCAGAAUGUCGCGGUGAAUACGUUCUCGGGCCUUGUACACACCGCCCGUCACACCACGAGAGUUGAUAACACCCGAAGCCGGUGGCCUAACCGAAAGGGAGGAGCUGUCUAAGGUGGGAUUGAUGAUUGGGGUG
rnacentral:rRNA from 1 species